CAUUCAUCCUCGGGUUUGCUGAGAACAAUAAUGUGGUGUUAUUACGGACAUCGACUGGCGUAUUCGCGGUCCAGCUGGAAUCAUUGCAGUUCAAGAAAGUUUUCGACUACAACAAUUGGCAUGGCUUUUAUCCAUUUGAAGUUGUCUAUACUGCAGACAAGAGCAUUGGUGGUGCGCAUGAUGGAGCUGUACUUCCAAAAAACAUAAAAUGAUUUGUCAAGAUGGACAUGCUAUUGUGAUGUAUUGAUCAAGCAGGUAUCUAGUUAACUUCCGCUGGCUGAGAUGCAGAAAUGGAUUAAUUUCUGUAUGUUCUUCCAUUUCAUUCUGUAUGCUGCAUGGAACCUGUGAAAUUGACCCUUUCUAUAUCAUCCCCUGGUCAAAGAUGAAGUGAUCUCGUAGGAAUUAGCAUGCCCUGGUGGACCUUGAAGUGUGAACUCAUCUGAAGUAGCUAAUUUGUGUAUGUUAUCUGGUUUCAGUAGACAUUAUUCCAACUGGCAUGAAGAGAGACUAAACUUGCUUCUAUUAAUUCCAUAUUGUUGGCCCUCUCA